rnacentral:lncRNA from 1 species
ACAUGAAAACCAAGAAUAACAGAUAAGCGUUUUGUGAUUUCAGUUCAGUUGACCUUGUAAACCAGUCGAGAGAAGUACCAAACCAGUCGAGUUUUAACCAGUUGAGAAAGGAGCCUCUGAGCCAAUAAACCUGCCCGUGGACUCUGACAAAAUCGAGAUUAUACCGCGAUGAACGAUCAAGUGGAGGAAGGCAAGGCGAAGGCGGCCGGAAUCGUUGGCAUUCUGAUUGGAGUAAUAGCGUUAAUCGAGCUGAUAUGUGGAUUUAUCUACCUCAGCAAAGGUGGCCCCGAAGGUUCUGGCCUGUGGUCUGGAGUUGGGGUAAAUAAUUGUUGUUUUGCACUAAUAUUUUUUUCGUUGUCCGGCCGUUAGGUCUAUAAAUUAGUUUUCAGAGUUUACUUUCUUCGUUUCAUCUCAACAGACGACUGAUUAUUUAUGUUAGAUGGUGUUCUAGUGCACGUUUCUUUUAGUAGUAUCAGGAUUCCGUAUUUAUAUGCCGCCAAAGAUUUCGUUUACACUGACAUAGCAUGUUGAAAAUGUCGCUUUGUAUUCUCUUUUAAUUACGAAACCUUUUGCUUAAAUGGUUUUCCACAACUUUAAAAUAAUGUUUGGUGGCCUCGUUGGACAAAGUUCUGAUUUCAAAGAUUGUCGGUUUCUUUCGUGCUUUUCGCCUAAAGCGGCAAAAAGUGUUCAGCAACACGGAGAAGUUAAUUGCAUUCCGCCUACGCUGCGACCAUGGGGUUGCGCACAGACGGUUUCUGAAAAUUUGUGUACGUAGAUUUGAAACCAUCUGCAGUGUCGCCGUUCUGGUGAAGAUAUUAAACGAGCCAUUACUCAUUUUUAGAGAAGACCACCUGGGAAGGAAGGUAAAUAACAACUUAUGACCGAAGAUGCAUUCGAAAAAAAAUGUGACGCUUUCCUCUAGCUACAGAACUACCGCUAAGAAUAAAAUAAACAGGUGUUUCCUUUUUUUGGAGGUAAAUAACGGCUCAUUGGCAAGUAGAGCGACGGUAACUUGACCGAUGUUUGCAGUUUGUUUUGAUAUUGAUUUAGCUAAAAUAUUCAAAUUGCGGCGUUUCGGGGGACCAACAGAGAAACAAACAACUGCCUUAUACAAUAACGCCAGCUGCUUGGUUUUUCAUUUAUUGAAAACUGGAGGAAUCUGUAAGUAGUUAUCGGUGCUGCAAAAUAACUGAGUUUUCUCUGAUAUCACUUGAUGUAUUGUGAUUUAAAUAAUCGGGCAACUGUUGAAUUUUUAUCAGGGCUGAAGUCUGCACGCAUAGGUGAGAAUGAUUUAAUACUGCGCUACAAAGACAGAUGUGUACUGUCAAGAGUUAUAUGUAAUCGUUUAACAGAACGUUACAGUUAAGGAUGGCAAUGAUCCAUAAUCAAAAUAAACACGAAGUAAAUGAGAAAAUAUCAAGUGAAAAUCCUUUUGUGUGGCAUGAACAAAUUAUUCGUUGAUGUAAUGUGACAGUUCUUGGUAGUUACGAUUGAAAAGAUUGCUUACGGGUCCAAACACGACCCGCAAAAUUAACAAUUUAUAUGCGACGCAAUUAGUCUUGAAGUAAUUUCCAUUUUUAUUGUAGUGCUCAAAACGAAGGAUUAUGUUUCUAAGUCUUAAUCAUUCCAGUUUGAUGUCAACCCAAGGAUUUUUUCACACGAAACACUGUGUCAUGGGUAGCUCAGCCGCGUUUGAUUCUAUAACUAAAUCGUUCUUCCUAGCGUCACGUUCUUUCUUUCUUACUUUUCUGUUUUUACCUUGAACAGUCUCCAAACGGGCCUGGCGUGGGUACACAGUUUUUGACAUGAAAUGAGAUCAUAAUUCAUAAAUCAGGCAUGCCUGGAUGCGCGAACAUAUUUGUUUUCUUUUUCCUUCGCUCGCGCUUUUAUUUUUGAGAGUACGGCUGCGUUAUGCAUAUAUCGAUCAUGUCCUCUGGCCUUGACGAAAAUCUUUGAACUUAGGCCGACGUGAAAACAAAAUAGUAAGAACAAAACACAGAACAAAAACACCCACAAAAGGUAAUAAGUUAAGUCGUAUAAGUUCCACGGAACCAGCUAAUUAUUCAGCAGACAGGUUCACUUGACUACGAGAAUGUUCUUUUGUUCCACAUGAGGAAAGAGUACUUUAACGUUCUGGUUGAAAGAAUGGUCAGCAUCCACUAAUAAUAUUCAUGUAUGAGAAGGAUUUGAGUCCACUUCAAGCUUAAACUCUGAAGACCACACUGACGUUGUGUAAAGUGCUCAUAACCUUUUUUUUUUUUUUAAAUUUUUCAGG